AAGAAAGCAAUGACAGGAAAUAGUAACAAGUAUUUCUUUCUACAGAGAGCCGAUGGCUGGUGGAAAUCGGUGUGAGAGUUUUGUGAAUCCCUCCUGGAGCAGAGUAUGGAAAGCCUUUUGGGUCAGUAAAUACUUUCGGUUAAAAGCCGUUAUCGUGAUAAGUGGUAGGCGUUUUUCAUAGGCCUUCAACUAGGGUGGCAACGCGGGUUAACUCUCGUCCCUUCU
rfam:Bacillus sp. FJAT-22058 super1, whole genome shotgun sequence.